UACGUAGGUGGCAAGCGUUGUCCGGAUUUACUGGGCGUAAAGAGCGCGCAGGCGGUCGUUCAAGUCGAGUGUGAAAGCCCCCGGCUCAACUGGGGAGGGUCACUCGAUACUGAUCGACUUGAAGGCAGGAGAGGGAAGCGGAAUUCCCGGUGUAGUGGUGAAAUGCGUAGAUAUCGGGAGGAACACCAGUGGCGAAGGCGGCUUCCUGGCCUGUUCUUGACGCUGACGGC
rnacentral:rRNA from 1 species